UUGCUAGUUACAAUGAAAUUUGAAUUACUUGAAAAGUAUAAAUCUAAGUCUUUGUGGGUACGAUAUCUGGACUUAAAAACCUUAUAUUAUUUGUACGACCGCAUAUACUUGCGUGUGCGUUUGGGAGCAACAUUAGGGUCGUCCGAGGGUUUGUUGGUAAAUUCAGGUGGUUUUCACCUACUUAGGAGAGCUGUAACUUUAUUUUAACGCCCGCUAUUCCAUUUUUCCCUCUGUUAACACGUUCUUACGUAGCUCUCAACGUCUGCUUCUGCUUCGCUUCGCCUUUAACUGCUUAGUUUAUCUGCCUUCCUUCCCAGUUUAUGUACAUUAUUCCCUCUAUAGGUAUUUAGAAGUGGAAUUGCAAAAACAGUUGAAAACAAGGAAUUUUGAAGACAAGGCACUGCUUUGCACUUGUACGGACCGAUAACAUGCUCGACGGUCCGUCAAGUAGGUCGUCGAAGUGCACUGAGUGAAAGAUAAGAGACUCUGCUAUAUUUAUGUAAAAAGACGGAAAGGUCGACAGACCAUCAACAUGAUCGACGAUCCAUCGAUGUACAUGGACGGUGGAGUUUCUGCAAAGUGAAAAUUGUCAUCAGACCGUCGAAGUGCAUCGUCGACAUUUGACGGCCCGUCAAUGUGCAAAGACGGUCCAUCAAGUUGCAAGCCGACCUGGAACUGGAUUGGAAUUAAUUAUUCCGAGUUUAACUUGUAUAAAUACCUAUUUAGGUUUUAUUUUUUAGACAUCUAGAGUUUUAGACUUGUAGUAAUUACUUUUAGGUUCUUAGUACUUUUGAAGAUUUUCCAGACAA